CAUAUUAAUAUCUAAUUGUUUGCCUAAUAAAAUAGAACUAGUUUAGGACAGAAUGUGUACCCUACCACAUUCUGUGUAUUCAUCUCGUAAAUCCCGUCUAAUGCGAUCUUUUUUGUUAUCAGCUAAUCGAUAUGAUAUUUUUGAAUUUAUCUAUAUUUGUCACAGUCGAUUUCUCCGUCAUUGACAGUUGCGCGUAGUUUUUAAGCUGUGAUAAUAGUGACCCAUAACAUGUCGCAUUUUGGACCACAGCUACAAAAAUUAUGUUUUAUUGGCCGCGUUGUAAUAUUGAAUCAUAUUACUACAUACUGCCGUGACUUAUUUUAUAUAAAACAUUACCACUACUGCUGAAACUAUCAUCUCUUAAUCUGUUUCCGCGUCUCCCAAUACUUUCCGGGACGUAUCGAUAUCAUCAAGAAAUUCACGAAAGUUUCCACCACCUACUAAUAAUGUAGGUACGGUAGCAGGAGCUUUGUCAGGGGCAAAAGAAAACUCCAGCUGACUUUGUUGUGCUCUGUUAAAUUUAAAAUUGAUAAUUAAGAAUUUUGUUUAAAUAUAAAAGCAAAUAUACCUUCUUGAUUCUAA
rnacentral:lncRNA from 1 species